AAGGAAAAGAAGCCCAAAAUAGAGCAGUAACGACUGUACGACAGCAGGAAUGAGGUAUGGAAACCCACUCCCUUUUUAAGCAGCGGGGAUCAAAGUGUAUGUUUGGAUAUGUCUGUCCUUAGGGAUCACGUUGACAACCAUGGAAAGCAGUUAAUUCAGAAGAAAUACUUUAGAGCUAAUACCAUAGAAGCUCUUCCUCCCCUUGCUAUGUUAUCUUCCCCCUCUGCUGUCCCUCGGAGAGGUGGAUCUGUGCUAUUCAUCCUGUCAGCACACAAAUGGAGUUCAGUCUCAGAAGAGACUCAGGCAGACUAAGCCGAACUUCACUGUUCCUGACAUAACACUAGAUGGCAGCCAGAGCCAGGAAAACACCACGGUUCCCUCCAAUCCCUUCCAACCCCGUUCUGCCGUCGCUAAUUAACGGCGAAUACAACUAAAACCAUAUCUGAUCAUUAUUCAAACGAAUUAUGCCUCGAAUGUGUGAGGAUUUGCACUCUGUGUGUCUGCGUCUUGACAAGAAAUUUGAAGCAGGACUUCUCUUGUGCCAGCAUCAUUAACAUCCCCUGCCUUUCAGCCAUGGGAUCAGAUCCACGGUCCCAUCCAGCAGAGCCAUUUGAACUCCGGAAUUGGAAAAAGUACUCCCUGAUUCCAGCAAGUGUUCAACUAUUUGAGUAUGUACAUUCAACAGGCUGCCUGUAGGAAAUCUCUCAGGUGUUAUUUAGUUUGUAUUCUGCAGUAACAAGUCUGAAUGAACACCCUGGAAAAUGAACGCUAAGACCAGCUACUUCCAGCUUCACACUGGGCACUGCUCAGAUAAGGACUGUACCCACGUGGAACCCUGAGUCUUAUGACUGUAGUCCAGAACAAAAGCUUUUAGCGAGUGCUCUCUGGAAGAGAUGGUGUGCUCAGGGAGUCUUUGUCCUCUGGAGGAUCACUUGUCUUUAUGUAACUAUGUGUUAGUUGACUGAUUUUCCUAAGAAUGGGAGAACAUGCAACCAGCAGGGAAAAGGAUAUGUAAGAUGACAUGCAGAGGCAGUGUCCAAGAUGUGUGACUCUUCCAUUACAACCCGUGAGAAUGUGCCCAUACCAUUUCCAAACACACCAGAGCAGCUGACUUCCUGCAAUCCAUUCCACCUGCCUGCUGUAAUGUCUUUGUCAGUGAGUUCAGAGGCAACACAAACUUAAUGAACUCAGUCUGAAGUACAACUAAGGACAACAUGAACUCACUUUUGAAAAGAG
ensembl:lncRNA